rnacentral:rRNA from 1 species
GGCGAAAGGGAGAGUAACGCGUGGUUACAUGCCCUCGGGACCGGGAUAGCGGCGGGAAACUGCCGGUAAUACCGGAUAAUAUCUUUGGAUCAAAGGUGUGAUUCCGCCCGAGGAUUGGACCGCGUUCUAUUAGCUUGUUGGCGGGGUAAUGGCCCACCAAGGCGACGAUGGAUACCGGGUGUGAGAGCAUGGCCCGGCUCACUGGGACUGAGACACUGCCCAGACACCUACGGGUGGCUGCAGUCGAGAAUCUUCGGCAAUGGGGGCAACCCUGACCGAGCGACGCCGCGUGCGGGACGAAGGCCUUCGGGUUGUAAACCGCUGUCAGUUGGGAGGAAAUGCCGGGGGGUUCUCCCCUCGGUUUGACCGAUCUUCAGAGGAAGGACGGGCUAAGUUCGUGCCAGCAGCCGCGGUAAGACGAACCGUCCGAACGUUAUUCGGUAUCACUGGGCUUAAAGCGUGCGUAGGCGGCCUGGUAGGUGAGGUGUGAAAGCCCACGGCUCAACCGUGGAAUUGCGCUUCAAACCACCAGGCUCGAGGAUGGCAGGGGUGAUGGGAACUGAUGGUGGAGCGGUGAAAUGCGUUGAUAUCAUCAGGAACACCGGUGGCGAAGGCGCAUCACUGGGCCAUUUCUGACGCUGAGGCACGAAAGCUAGGGUAGCGAACGGGAUUAGAUACCCCGGUAGUCCUAGCUGUAAACGAUGAGCACUGGGUUGAGGGGACCUCCACAUCUUCUCGGCCGUAGCGAAAGCGUUAAGUGCUCC